GAUGAAGAACGUAGCGAAAUGCGAUAAGUAAUGUGAAUUGCAGAAUUCAGUGAAUCAUCGAAUUUUUGAACGCACAUUGCGCCCCUUGGUAUUCCGAGGGGCAUGCCUGUUCGAGCGUCAUUAUAACCCCUCAAGCUCAGCUUGGUGUUGGGGCCUGCUGCACUGGCAGCCCUUAAAAUCAGUGGCGGCGCCAUCUGGCUCUAAGCGUAGUAAUUCUUCUCGCUAUGGAGUCCUGGUGGAUGCUUGCCAUCAACCCCCAAUUUUUCUAUGGUUGACCUCGGAUCAGGUAGGGAUACCCGCUGAACUUAAGCAUAUCAAUAAGCGGAGGA
rnacentral:misc_RNA from 1 species